rnacentral:lncRNA from 1 species
UUGUGAGGAAUGGCAGAGUGACUCACUGGUAAGAGAGCCCCAACUUGAGACACCUCCAACUUUAUGUCCGUGCCAUACUGGACCAACAGUUUCUGAAAAGAUGGCUUCACAACAGAGCCACAGGCCACAAGCACUUGCCCAGAAGCAGGUUUGCCUGUUUCUUGAAUUUUUGCAGCAAGAAUUGCAAAUCCAUGAUUUCCUUUUGUGAGAGAAGACUCGGAUAACAUAAUCUUUGUAGGCUUCUUAUUCCUCAAGUCAUCAAUGCUACUUCCAUACCAGAAAUAGCAUAUGCCCAUCUCUGAAAUGGCCAAAACAUAUAUUCCUGCACCAUCACUGCCCUCUGUAUCCAUGCACUUGCUAUCCAGAAAGAUAGGUGGAUGGUCCAUUGAGAGAAUACAGGUCGCACCCUCACUUUUAACAGCACCGACUUUCCAAAUGGCGAUGUAUUUCUCACCGACUCCAGAUGAUAAAAUAUACUGUGCGUCCUCGCUGAAAAUCAUGCACCUUACGCUGACCUAAAGAGAGAACAGAUCAUAGAUUAGCUGAUAGAACUGACGGUUAAUUACAAUUUCAUCCCUUAAGCUUAAUUUAGAUUUCAAUUUACUCAUCCAAGAAGUUUCAUUUCUAUUAACAAAUUUGUUCUUCAAGGUCGAUUUCAAUUUCACCCUCAGAUUUUCAAAAUUAUGAAAGCAAAGUCUAACUUAGUACUGACAUGCACCCUUUAUAGAUGGUAGAUUAACAAAUGUAUUCAAACUGUUAUGCAGAACAAACUUCAGGGACUAAAUUAUUACAAUUGAAACUAUGACAACGAAAUUGUAAUGAAGGUCAAACUUAUGUAACUAACUUUCUAAUCAACCCUAGAUAUAAAUGCAUAUCGAAAAGGUUAAGACAAGUAGCAAGGAAGAGAAAAUAAAAGUCGAAGUAAGGGCACUAAAUUGCACACACCGGAUGCCCAGAAAACUUCUGAAUCUUCUUUUGGUUAGAACAAUUGAAAGUUUUCAAUUGACCAGCAGCUGUGGCCAAUAUCUUUCCAUCUAAUGAAGAAAAUAACAUGAGUCAACCAGAGUAUACAGAAGAUAAAAGUAAAUUGUUCUUAAAAGUUUGAAAUCUUAAAAGAACUUCUGUCGUUACGGAAAAGCACAAUGAAGAAAAAUGGAUUUCGAAGGUUCGCUGUAUCGUAGAAUAGGAUAUGGGCCAUUCAAAAGGCAUAAUUUAACAACUGUGUAUCUCAAAUAUCUUAAUAUACAGAAGUGUUGAAGUCUGUCCUACAUGGCACCUAACCUAAUGAAGGUGAAGCAGCACUAAAUUAACCUACAAGGGUAGCAGAGGGGAGGAAAAAUUUAGAAAUGAUUAUAUGAACAGUGCAGUACCUGAAAAAACACACAACGAGGAUAUUGCCUUUGUAGACGAUCUAAAUCUGCCCAAAACUUUUCCUGUAGAAAUAUCAAUCUGGCAGACCAUACCAUCAACACCAGCUGUAUAGACGCACAAGCGGUUUAUAGAAAAGGAAACAGCUGUUACACCCCUGCAAUUUAAACCAUUACACCACUUCAAAAAAGCAAGUCUGGAAGAUCUCAAAGUAGUGGAAAUGUAGAAGCUAGGCGUCACGGACACUGACAUGGGACACGACAUGACUUGAACACAGCGACUCGGCAACUUUAAAAAAAUUAGGACACGGACACGACAUUAACACCGCUAAUAAAAUAUAAUAUUAUUCAUAUAGUAAUAUAUUUUUAUUAUAUAUAAAAUAUUAAUUUUGAUAAAAUAUUAUUAUAUUUCUCAUACGAAUGAAAGUUAAUAAAAUUUUCAUUGAUAGUUCAUAAAUUUUAAGAAAAAAAAUUCUUCCCCAUACAUAAUUUAUUGAUAUUGUCAAAAAAAAUUAUAUGCAUUCAUCAAAAAGCGAAAAUAUUUAUUAUCGCACAUUACAUAUGCAUAGAAAAAGUAAAAUAAAAAUAGAUAUAUAUAUUUUUUAAUUGUAUGCGCUAUGGAUCAGCANAGUCCCAACUUGAGACACCUCCAACUUUAUGUCCGUGCCAUACUGGACCAACAGUUUCUGAAAAGAUGGCUUCACAACAGAGCCACAGGCCACAAGCACUUGCCCAGAAGCAGGUUUGCCUGUUUCUUGAAUUUUUGCAGCAAGAAUUGCAAAUCCAUGAUUUCCUUUUGUGAGAGAAGACUCGGAUAACAUAAUCUUUGUAGGCUUCUUAUUCCUCAAGUCAUCAAUGCUACUUCCAUACCAGAAAUAGCAUAUGCCCA